GAUAAAAUACUAAAACGCCGUAUUGGGAAACGCUUCUACCUCUCAUUCAUAACCGAAAAUAUCAGCUAAAAUUUCUCCCCAAUGCUAAAAACCAAACCCUAUAACUCUGAAAAUCAAAAACUCAAAACACGUCUCUUCUCUACUUUUUUUUUUUUUCCUUCCCCCAAAUCGCAAAAUCUCCACUCCUCGACCAUACAAGCUUAUAUGGAUGGUUACCGAAGCUCAAUGGAAAGUUCUCCGUUGAAUAUUGCAACCCAACUCACUGAUAUGCCAACCACAAACUGAUGUUCGCUGGAAAAAGCUUUGGAAGCUCAAAUACCCUGAAAGGAUUAAGAGAAUUACCUCCUCAGCUGCUUCGCUCAUACCGAAGAGUGGUGUGGGCAUGGGAGGUUCAUGGACAAGAGAAUCGUCUAAUACAGCUAUAUAGUUCAUCAAUAAGGCAAGGCCAUGAAUUACAUUGAUGGUCGUUGGCUGGGAAUAUGGUGCAAACAUGUUGACGAAGUACUUGGCAGAAGCUGGAGAGAAUACACCGCUUACAGCUGCCAUGUGCAUAGACAAUCCAUUUGACUUAGAGGAGGCUACAAGGUCCUCUCCUUAUCACAUGGCCAUUGAUCAGAAGCUCACUAGUGGACUGAUAGAUAUUCUAAGAUCUAAUAAGCUGUUUUCUAGGAACUAUUUCAAGGCAAAGCAAAAGGGUUUGACAUGGAGAAGGCUUUAUUGGCAAAGUCUAUUCAUGAUUUUGAAAAAGCAAUAUCUAUGGUAUCUUAGCACAAGGGACGUGGUUGGGAAUGUGAGCAAGCAAAGAAGAUUUAUAAAACUCAAUGUUUUAUGUUGAAUAAAUAUAUGAUGUACUCUUCUAUAUAAUGCAGAUUUGUUGUAUUAUGUUCUUUCUCUACUCUUUUUGAGUCAUAGCAAAAGAAUUUGACAUUGGUAACUAUAUUCUAUUUAUUUAUUAUGAAAAUAAGAUUGCGAUCAUUAUUGCAAUUUUAUUAUUUGUUUAUUCACAAUAUAUAUGUAACUAUGAAAAUAACUUCAUUGCUAA